CUCGGAUCUGUGAUGUGAAUAUAUUUACUGCGUUAUCUUCCUGCAAUUGCCUUGAAGAAAUCAUUGUCUACACUGAGAUCCGAA
rnacentral:snoRNA from 1 species